CUGGAGAGACAGAAUAAGUGAAAAAUGGGUGAAUGAGGAAGACGGAGAGAAUAGAUGAAGCCCGUGGGAUGUGUUGGUCCAUCUGGAAAAGAUCCCAUGGAUACCAACUUCCAAACGUCCUGUUUUACUACUUCCAGGGGAGUAACCAGCAGAGAAAUGAAAUUUAAAUUGGUGCUAUUGAAGAGUAGCAAAGACAUCUCUCUUAUAAGCUAUUCUGGUUAUACACUGCCUGGCAAAAAAAGAAAAAAAGAAAAAAUCACCAUUGGGGGCAAAUGAUCUGGGGUUGGUCAACUAGUCAAAUCUAUGCUCUGCAACAUUAUGUGGCAAUACAAGGAAGUCACCUGAAUGUACUUAAUGGACAAUGCUAAGACAAUGUUUUUUUUCUCUUCCCUGAUGGCAAGGGCAUACUCCAGGAUGACAAUGCCAGUUCAUAAGGUUUCAAAUUGUGACAGAGUGGUUCAGGUAGAGUUAUCAUUUUUGUCCACCACAGAGUGCUGACCUCAACCCUAAUGAGUCUUCGGGGUUGUGCUGGAGAUCUUGGCAAAAAGAUUAAUGCAAUUGAUGCAAUGGAAUAUUGUGUGCAAGCAAUGUUUUGUUGACCGGGCAGUACAUCCAAAUUGAACUGACAACUGAACACACACAAAAAGUAAAAAUAAAAAAGGUGAAUGAAAUACAA